rnacentral:rRNA from 1 species
CGCUAGCUACAGGCUUAACACAUGCAAGUCGAGGGGCAGCAUGGUCUUAGCUUGCUAAGGCCGAUGGCGACCGGCGCACGGGUGAGUAACACGUAUCCAACCUGCCGUCUACUCUUGGACAGCCUUCUGAAAGGAAGAUUAAUACAAGAUGGCAUCAUGAGUCCGCAUGUUCACAUGAUUAAAGGUAUUCCGGUAGACGAUGGGGAUGCGUUCCAUUAGAUAGUAGGCGGGGUAACGGCCCACCUAGUCUUCGAUGGAUAGGGGUUCUGAGAGGAAGGUCCCCCACAUUGGAACUGAGACACGGUCCAAACUCCUACGGGAGGCAGCAGUGAGGAAUAUUGGUCAAUGAGCGAGAGCCUGGACCAGCCAAGUAGCGUGAAGGAUGACUGCCCUAUGGGUUGUAAACUUCUUUUAUAAAGGAAUAAAGUCGGGUAUGGAUACCCGUUUGCAUGUACUUUAUGAAUAAGGAUCGGCUAACUCCGUGCCAGCAGCCGCGGUAAUACGGAGGAUCCGAGCGUUAUCCGGAUUUAUUGGGUUUAAAGGGAGCGUAGAUGGAUGUUUAAGUCAGUUGUGAAAGUUUGCGGCUCAACCGUAAAAUUGCAGUUGAUACUGGAUAUCUUGAGUGCAGUUGAGGCAGGCGGAAUUCGUGGUGUAGCGGUGAAAUGCUUAGAUAUCACGAAGAACUCCGAUUGCGAAGGCAGCCUGCUAAGCUGCAACUGACAUUGAGGCUCGAAAGUGUGGGUAUCAAACAGGAUUAGAUACCCUGGUAGUCCACACGGUAAACGAUGAAUACUCGCUGUUUGCGAUAUACUGCAAGCGGCCAAGCGAAAGCGUUAAGUAUUCCACCUGGGGAGUACGCCGGCAACGGUGAAACUCAAAGGAAUUGACGGGGGCCCGCACAAGCGGAGGAACAUGUGGUUUAAUUCGAUGAUACGCGAGGAACCUUACCCGGGCUUAAAUUGCAGAUGAAUUACGGUGAAAGCCGUAAGCCGCAAGGCAUCCGUGAAGGUGCUGCAUGGUUGUCGUCAGCUCGUGCCGUGAGGUGUCGGCUUAAGUGCCAUAACGAGCGCAACCCUUGUUGUCAGUUACUAACAGGUUCCGCUGAGGACUCUGACAAGACUGCCAUCGUAAGAUGUGAGGAAGGUGGGGAUGACGUCAAAUCAGCACGGCCCUUACGUCCGGGGCUACACACGUGUUACAAUGGGGGGUACAGAGGGCCGCUACCACGCGAGUGGAUGCCAAUCCCCAAAACCUCUCUCAGUUCGGACUGGAGUCUGCAACCCGACUCCACGAAGCUGGAUUCGCUAGUAAUCGCGCAUCAGCCACGGCGCGGUGAAUACGUUCCCGGGCCUUGUACACACCGCCCGUCAAGCCAUGGGAGCCGGGGGUACCUGAAGUGCGUAACCGCGAGGAGCGCCCUAGGGUAAAACUGGUGACUGGGG